CUCAGAUAUCAAAUGCAGUAAUAAUUUCUCAUGAACGUUGAAUGUGUACUUUAAACGAAGAGGGAGAAGCCUUUAUAAUGUCGAUACCAAUCACACUGAGCCGUUAGUAUAGCAAAGCGAAGUGUUAGCGAUAAAGCGUUCGAAAUGAGUUCCUCCCACACGAAUUUCUCCGGCCCCGGUACCGGACCGAAUAAUAUCGGAAUCAAUUCACCGGCGGUGUCGUCCAGAGGCCUAUUUGGACUUGCCAUUCUUUUUUUUUAUUAUAUUACCGCAGCAUCUACGUACACCGCGGUAAAGGAUGGAAAAAUCAGUCAAUCGGAAGGUCGAGCUCGAGGUCAGCAACUCAUCCAGGCGAACAAAGACGCGACGAAUCUUAAAAUUAUUAAUCAGACCUUCCGGAAAUAGAAGACCAAUCAUUUUUUGACUCACGUAUAUAAUAUUUCACAGGUAUUUAGUCGUGGUGAAAUUUUUAUACGCUAUAUAAUCGUAAAGCUGCGUAGCUAUCGAUGGUAUAUUAUGCUGACAAGGCGAGGCGAUAAAUUUCUAGAAAUAAUUUAAUCGAGAUUCAAUCGAGUCAAUGGUAGAUUAUUGAUUUAUAAUUAACAAUCUAUGACUGAUAUUGAUGUUUCCUCAUUCGUUGCAAUAGGCUUAUCACGAAUUGGAUUUUAUUGAUUACGCUGAAUAUGACAAAGACAAAUGACGUUUGUAAGUAGAUUUAUUAUCUUCUUCUUUCUGUGAAAAUAGCUGUCAUUAGAUAACUCAGAAAGUUUCUGCACCGUUGAAGGUGCUGUCAUUUCUUUUUUAUCUAAAUCGAUGUAAGAAUGAUAAUCCGAUUCAUGUACAGAUAACGUUUGAAUUCAAAUAAAAUCAAGAUUUGUCUGAUAAAAAAUUUGCCAAAAUUUUCUCACAUUUCCCAGUGAAAAAUCUGAAAUGACUCGGUUUAAGGUCAUCAUCUGUAUUUUUGAAGAAUAAUUGUGUAAG
rnacentral:misc_RNA from 1 species